UGGUCGGCGACGGUAAAGAACGAAAUACAACUUUCAGCAACGGAUCUCUUGGCUCUCGCAUCGAUGAAGAACGCAGCGAAUUGCGAUAAGUAAUGUGAAUUGCAGAUUUUCAGUGAAUCAUCGAAUCUUUGAACGCACCUUGCGCUCCUUGGUAUUCCGAGGAGC
rnacentral:rRNA from 1 species